rnacentral:lncRNA from 1 species
CGUGACAUCUUCUCUCCACCCUUGGAUCAAACCGACCUCACAACCGCCAUUUGAUCAACGGCAGGGGCAAAUCAACAUGUGGGACAUGUGGGGAAGGUCGGUGGGAGGCCACCGACCCUAGAACCGCCUUUGAUGUGGGGUCGGGCGACCCCACUUCUGGGCCUCUGGGCCCACCAGCAGUGUCCACAGGGGUCCCUUAUGUCGGUGGACUAGGUGGCACACCUGGGUCCCACCAAAGAGUGGUCGGGCGACCCCCUCCCUAUGGGCCCAGGGUGUCACCUGUUGUCCCCUCGAUCUCCUCUUGAUGAUUCUGAUGUUGGCUUUGUCAAAUAAUGUCUUUAAUUUGUUGUUCCUGCAUAAACAAGCUAAGAGUACAAGUUGAACUAGUUAUGGAUAAAAUAUGUUCAUGUCAUGUCGUUUCCCCUUGCAACCGAGGCAUGUUGACGGUGUUUUGUAUGUGGAUUUCUAUGGUAUAUCCACCGUCAACAAGAUCCCCCAAGCUUAACCUUUGCUCGUCCCGAGCAAACAAUCAAACUUAGCCUCGGUGGAUCAGGUAUUGUUACUAUGUUCACAUUUCAAGAGUACCAUGUGUACAACAAAGUUCUUCUCUUUGCAUGAAAAAUUUAGCUAUGUAAACUUACCCCUACUACCUUAGUCCCUUAUGGGGCUUAUGGCUUUUCCUUUGUCUUAGGUGGUUGAGAGACAGAACAGUUUGACUUGAGCACUAACUUUCUCAUUCUUAGCAAGUUUCAUAUCAGAGGUUUUGUGAUAUUUUCAAAAGAAAGCUUAAAUGUUCCUCUUAUGGUUCUCUCAUGUCACUCAAAUGGUGUAUGAUUCCUCACCAAGGCAUAUGGUAAGAGUUGCCUUCUCUAUUUCAUCCUAUUUCUAAAAGGCUUAUGUGGAGUUCAAGGUAGGGAUGAAAGGAGAUAGCAUACUUACUUUGCAUGUAUUGCGAAGUCAAAGCUCGGAUCCUUGAAGAGAAGUGUCAUACUCCCAGAUCAAGAUGUGCAAGUGUGAUAUAUGGUGGACUAGGUUGCUCCUUUAUUUGAUAGACUCUCUAUGUAUUGAGACAUGGCUAGCAUUUUUUUCUUCUUUUUUUUAUAUAUAUAUAUAUAUGAGCUUUCAUGUGCUCAAUUUUCUUUUUCUGUGGACUUGCACAUGUCCAUCUUUUUAUUUCAUUUUGCCUAGCCCUUUUGAUGUCUCAUUUACCAAAUAAUGCUUAGAGAGAUGUUCUAACAUUUAGAGUAUGGAGCAACCUAUUUAGUGGAUGCGAAAUACAUGUGGUUGCGUACUUCCAGUGUAGAAGCAGCAUAUAUAUAUAUAUGUGGUGUGUACGUGAUCUUGAUCUUAGGAGCAUGAAAAGUCUCUUAACAAGGGUCAACAAGACUUGACGACACUCAACACAAAGCAAAUAGCUUAUGUGGAAAGGUUGCAAUUAUGUAAAGUAGAUAUGGCUGUGGUAGGAAUUCAUCACCAUUGAGGAACAAUUAAGGUUUUGAUCAUUUUAAGAAUAAAUCUCUGAUAAUCAUGCAUGCUUAGAAAAAUAUUAUAGUAGCUCUUGUCUU